rnacentral:rRNA from 1 species
GAUGAACGCUGGCGGCGUGCUUAAUACAUGCAAGUCGAGCGAAGCGCUUUAACGGAAUUCUCCGGAAGGAAGAUAAAGUGACUGAGCGGCGGACGGGUGAGUAACGCGUGGGUAACCUGCCUCAUACAGGGGGAUAACAGUUAGAAAUGGCUGCUAAUACCGCAUAAGCGCACAGGACCGCAUGGUCUGGUGUGAAAAACUCCGGUGGUAUGGGAUGGACCCGCGUUGGAUUAGGUAGUUGGUGGGGUAACGGCCUACCAAGCCGACGAUCCAUAGCCGGCCUGAGAGGGUGGACGGCCACAUUGGGACUGAGACACGGCCCAGACUCCUACGGGAGGCAGCAGUAGGGAAUAUUGCACAAUGGGGGAAACCCUGAUGCAGCGACGCCGCGUGAAGGAAGAAGUAUCUCGGUAUGUAAACUUCUAUCAGCAGGGAAGACAAUGACGGUAC